rnacentral:rRNA from 1 species
CACGUAGGGAGCAAGCGUUGUCCGGAUUUAUUGGGCGUAAAGAGCUCGUAGGCGGCUCAGUAAGUCAGGUGUGAAACCUCCAGGCUCAACCUGGAGACGCCACCUGAUACUGCUGUGGCUUGAGUCCGGUAGGGGAGCGUGGAAUUCCUGGUGUAGCGGUGAAAUGCGCAGAUAUCAGGAGGAACACCAGCGGCGAAGGCGGCGCUCUGGGCCGGAACUGACGCUGAGGAGCGAAAGCUAGGGGAGCAAACGGG